AAUCAAAAGAAUGUUAAACAUACCUGAGAGAAGAUACAAUUCGAACUCUAAGCUUAACUUAGCUCACCAUCAUCCUUGUUCACGUCACAACACCAUUGCUACAAAAAAAAUAAGCCAAUAUUGCGGCGGUUAUAAAAUGGCGGUUUAACGGAGCCGCCGUAAUUGACUCUAAAUAAUGGCGGAUUUGCAGACGCCAUAUUUAAUAUUUUUAAUACGGCGGUUGUGCGAAUUUGCGUCAGUUUUGAACCGCCAUUAUAUUUCUUUUAAUUUCAUAACCUUUUAAACAUCAGAGCAUACUCAAAGUACGCCCAAUAUUUCCUUGUCUUACUUUAGGGUUUCCGGCGACACUUCAUCUCUUUCACCAGCGACACUUCACAAUCUGUACCAAAUCUGUUUUAGGAAUCUACAUCUGGUCCAUUUCUACGAGGAUGUUUUAAGAGGCUCUGUUCGAAGUUUGGCAUUCAAGGUUUUGGUGAUUGAAGUAAUAUUGAUCAAAGUUCUGUUCAUCAUUAAGAAAAUGUUGACGUGAAUCUCAUCACAACUGGAGUAUCUACAAGUGAAAAUAUGAAGGGAGAAUUUGGUGUUAACUACCCGCAACACCUCAGUUGCAGGAGGCAUCGUAUUUUUGAAGUGACACUCCAUUAUCACCAACAGGUCAAGGAGAUCUUCACACGAAAUAGAAAUGCUAAAUACAGUUAGGAUUGAUUGUAUUAUUUUGUUGUUGAGUAACACUUUGAAACAAUACAUUUAAUGUAAUUUUGGAGUGCUUAUGAUAUAUGAGGAAUAUUCUGCUUUUUCUUCUCGCA